UUUUUCUAAAUUUCUGACGCACACCAGGUGUUUGAAGAAAUGUGACUGUCAGACAGUCAGGCUUUAUUUGCACUGUUGAGCAGCAGAAUUUCGAUUUGUAUACCUUUUAGAUGUUCAGCCUUCAAAGACAAAAGAAAAGUGAAGUGACCGGUGAGCACCCAUUAAUAGAAUAGUGCACAUAUUUGCUAGGCAUUUCUUUUGAAUGAGGUGUCUUAAAAUUGUCAAUAAAGUUGUUUUGGACGCACUGCUUCUAUGCUUUCUUUUCUUGACAGGAGUUUAAGUCAUUUUUGACCCUCACUUUCUACACAUAGAUGGGUGUUUUUCGAUCUCACAGAAUAGGAUAUGUAGGACCAACAAAUGCAUUAUAGAGAAAUGUACAACAACUGUGUUGUGUCAUUUAUGAUAAUCUCUUGACCAACAGAUCGCAAGAAUAGAAACUUUGGAUACUUAUUCUCUACUUCCUCCUCCUCUAUGACUGAGGUAUUGAGAGUGCAAACUGCCUCCACCAUAGAAAUAACAGCAGAUGCAAACCUAAGGAGCAAAUGCAAUACUGUGGAUCAUACACUGGGAGUUAAAGUCUCAGGUCUCAAGAAGUUAAAGGUGUGAUGACGGAAAUCAUUGAGAAGACAGACUAUACUAACCUCCUUUUGGAUUAUACCCUUUCAAAAGGCUUUAUUUCCUAAUUUGAAACUGGAAAGAAUCCAAAAAACUAUAUGUGGCUGAUUGAUGUGAGUUAUAGCCUUACAAAUUCUUGAUCAUUUGGUGUGUAAAGGCUUGCCCGUAUUGGAUCACCCCCUUUUCUUUUGGAUUGUUUCUUACUUAUUUUUCCACAUGCGUGUUUGAAUUUAUAUACCCAGGUACAUACUUAUGAGAAGUACUGUCAGAAAUUUAGCUAUAAAUUAUGUCAAGUGAAAGGUAGACACUCAAUAAGGGCCAUUGACUGCUACUUUAAAGCCAAGGUGCAGCUACCACAAGAAGAAAAUGAAAAACAAGAAAAUGCAAACCAAAGGAAGAAGAGUUGGAGGAGAAAAUGCAAAGAAGAAGUUACUGUAAAUGGAUAUCACUUUGAACUUUCAUGAGACUGCUCACUGAUGAAUCUCUGCGGUUACGGAGUGCUUUACGUUACACAACAUAUGGGAAAUCUGGUGUUUUUGAUGCUGAAAGAUUCAUAGAUGCUAUGCAAGCAUUUGAGAAUUUCAUAACUGCAGCUAAAAGUGGAGGUGGGGAGAGUUUGAAUGGAAGAAUGGCAGAGCUUGGCAUUAUGCAAACUCAAACAAAUAGUGUAAUUCCUUUUCCUUCUUCAAGUGCUUAUCAAACAGAGCAGCCAAUCCAAACAAGAGCAGCAUUAGCACUUCUGCUCUCUGAUAAAGGGAUUUUUUUCCGCGAAUUCCUUUUGGAUGAGGUAUGUCUAAUUGGCUGCUAAGUUAGCUCUGUGGGAAAAAUUGCGGAGAUGAAUAUAUAAUUAUCAGAUAUGUUUUUUAUUCUAAGCCUGUAAUCACUCAAACUUUGUGAAGUAUAAUUUAUCAAGGUUUGAUUCAUUUUAAGACCAUUUGUUCUGCUAUACAUUUCUGUCUAAAUAUACACAGUGAAUGGACUAUGCAAACUCAUUUGAAGGCCAUCAACAAGUAAAACUUGAAGCUCUUGCAAAAAAUCCUCUUAUGCACAUGAAAAUACUAGGAGGAAGAAAUAUUUUUUCUAGGCUAUAAAAAGGCAGUAACUUGUAGGUAAAGUGAUCGAAUGGUGAUUCAUGCAUAAAUAAGACUUCCCUACAAGCUAACCUCAACCAGGAUCCAAAGUCAUUUUUGUUGCAGAUCGUGGUUCAAAUGCUAAUUCAGAUUCACAUGUAGAUUUAUAUCCAGAUGAUUUUAGAUUUGUAAGGAAGUCAAAGUAUGUUGAUGAAGAAAGGGAAGAGAAUUCGAAAAAGCUGAAGGAGAAUAUCAGCUCAAUAUUAAAGAAGUUGUUGAGUUCAUAUUGUCAACAGCUGAGGUUUGCUUAAUUUUGCUUCAAGUUGUUGGUCAGAGGUUUGGUUUGUCAUCAGAAAAAUUGUGAAUGCUAACUAUACUUUUGUAUUUUCAGGAGAACAAUAAAAUGAACCUUGAAUAGGGAAAUAAUAUGAUUGAUAAAACAUAUCCCAUUUUCUCGGUCAAAGAUGGUUUCAUUUGAAUUUUUAUAGGUGCUUAGAUAAUUAGCAUGUCUUAUUGGAUAGGAGUACUCUCUAACCAAGUUUUAUUAUGUGGUUCAAAUAGUAUAUGUAAGAGGCUUGAUUUGAUCCUUCUCUUUCAUUCUAGAUGGGAGUUUCUGUGAUUUUUGGAAGAAAAUCCCAUUUCUUCUUCUCUUCAUUUGUGUGUAAAGCUUAUAAGGUUGAUGAUAGAAUGCAACUGUUGGCAUUCUAAAGUAGGAAGUCACAGUACUUCGAGAUGCUCUAUUACAUUCACAUAUUUGAUAGCCAUAUGAAAUUGAGUUGACAUA